rnacentral:rRNA from 1 species
GAUAAACGCUGGCGGCGUGCUUAACACAUGCAAGUCGAACGAAGUUUUUCCUUCGGGAGAAACUUAGUGGCGGACGGGUGAGUAACGCGUGGGUAACCUGCCCUGUACAGGGGGACAACAGCUGGAAACGGCUGCUAAUACCGCAUAAGCCCUUAGCACUGCAUGGUGCAUAGGGAAAAGGAGCAAUCCGGUACAGGAUGGACCCGCGUCUGAUUAGCCAGUUGGCAGGGUAACGGCCUACCAAAGCGACGAUCAGUAGCCGAUCUGAGAGGAUGUACGGCCACAUUGGGACUGAGACACGGCCCAGACUCCUACGGGAGGCAGCGGUGGGGAAUAUUGCACAAUGGAGGAAACUCUGAUGCAGCGACGCCGCGUGAGUGAAGAAGUAUUUCGGUAUGUAAAGCUCUAUCAGCAGGGAAGAAAAUGACGGUACCUGACUAAGAAGCACCGGCUAAAUACGUG